rnacentral:rRNA from 1 species
CUCGUAGGCGGCCAACUAAGUCAGACGUGAAAUCCCUCGGCUUAACCGGGGAACUGCGUCUGAUACUGGAUGGCUUGAGUGUGGGAGAGGGAUGCGGAAUUCCAGGUGUAGCGGUGAAAUGCGUAGAUAUCUGGAGGAACACCGGUGGCGAAGGCGGCAUCCUGGACCAUUACUGACGCUGAGUGAGCGAAAGCCAGGGGAGCAAACGGGAUUAGAUACCCCGGUAGUCCUGGCCCUAAACGAUGAAUGCUUGGUGUGACGGGUAUCGAUCCCUGUCGUGCCGAAGCUAACGCAUUAAGCAUUCCGCCUGGGGAGUACGGUCGCAAGGCUGAA